AGUUUGUGAUGAAAAAGCUAUGUCUAUUCUCCGAAGAAAUUAGGAUUACUUAUCUUGUCUCAUUGUGUGGUAAGGUGCAGUUGAAGCUUCUGCUAGUUAAAUUGCCAAAAUAUGGUAUGGAUAGACAGUUGGAGAGGUGCUUACAAAAUUAGUAUGUUGAGCACUUUCUAGAAACACUGUCAGUGUUAGUAAUAUGAUGUGAUAAUUUGCCACAUUCUGAACGAAAAAAAUUUAGGAUGUUUUGUUUAUUUGCUUGACGAAAAAGCGGAGCUUGUUGCAAAUUUGUUUAUGAGUUGUAUUGAAUAUGUUGGGCCUUUGUUGCUCGCUCUCAUUCUAUUGACUUUUCAUUACUUUUGUUGUGUGGAAGGUGCGCACAUACAAAUACAUUCGGCUGCAGGAGCAACAAGCUAAAGUCAAACAAAAAUCGUUCGCAGGUUGCAGUUCCGUCAAGUUCAGAGAAUGCAAACUACUGUAGAAAGUUAACCAUCUGCAGAGCACAAAGUGAAGAUUCUAAAGGUGGGGGAGGAUUCUUGGCUGGAUUUCUUAUAGGGGGAGCAAUCUUUGGAACAUUGGGAUAUGUCUUUGCUCCUCAGAUCAGCAGAACAUUGGACUCUUUGUUGGAUGAAAAUGGACAAGAUAGUGAAUCUGAUGAAACUGGCCUCCAAAGGGUUCCAGGACCACGGCGUGGUCAAUAUUAUGAUGAAGGCUUAGAGAAAACUCGUCAAACACUGGGCGACAAGAUAAGCCAACUGAAUCUGGCAAUUGACAAAGCUGCUUCGCGGCUGAAGCGUGUCACUGGCAAUGUGGAAAAUGAGGCUGUGAUAGACGAAACUGAAAUUGAGAUAUCCUCAUUGAGUGAUAGUGAGCAUGUGGUGGAGAACUUAAACGAACAUGGUUUUGUGCAAGGUGAAAGUGCAACAUAAUCAUCAUUCAGAAAAGGUUCAGCAUCAGGAGUUGCAGGUUCAUCCUGUGAACGUCAGAUUCUGCGUGCAAGCUGGAGAGCUGAAGCUGGGUAGUCUGUUUAACCGAUUGGCAGAAUGGAAAUGAUUCGCAUUCGCAGCUAGGAUCUUUGUACUCUUGGAAUUUUCUCGGAUAUUUCUGCCUCUUUUGAAGCCGUAGUUAUGGGAUAAGCAAAAGAAUCCAAGGACUUGUCUGCCUUAGCUUGAUGCCAUCGAUGUACUAAGUAAUGUUUUAGCUGAUUGCUUCUUACAGCUCGGAGAUAAAAUGAAAUGGCACUUCAUAAACUAAAUCUACUAGUUGGCAGCUUGGCAUCGUCGGUGCCGCCUCAGAACUGUCGGAAAUCUAUGCAACCACACCACCUUGCCGCCGGAGAAAUGAUUGUGCACUUAGAUGACCUCGAGGCAUCAAGGCAUA